AAAAGGCCGUAUUAAUUUGAAUUGACAAAUGAAUAUAUACCUCUCAUCAGUCAAAAGGCUGGUUAUUUUCGCUACUAACCAUAAUUUAUUAGAAGGACAAAGCGGUACCAAAGCCUUAAUUGUUUACUAGCUGGGCAAGUGAAAGUAAUUCAAUACAUUCGCAAGAAAACUGAACUUAAGCACUGUUACGUUUCUCACUUUGUU